rnacentral:rRNA from 1 species
UUCCGGUUGAUCCUGCCGGACCCGACUGCUAUCAGAGUGGGACUAAGCCAUGCGAGUCAACAUAGCAAUAUGUGGCAUACGGCUCAGUAACACGUAGUCAACAUGCCCAGGGGACGUGGAUAACCUCGGGAAACUGAGGAUAAACCGCGAUAAGUCACUGCUUCUGGAAUGGGCAAUGACUUAAAUCUAUAUGGCCCCUGGAUUGGACUGCGGCCGAUCAGGCUGUUGGUGAGGUAAUGGCCCACCAAACCUGUAACCGGUACGGGCUCUGAGAGGAGGAGCCCGGAGAUGGGCACUGAGACAAGGGCCCAGGCCCUACGGGGCGCAGCAGGCGCGAAACCUCUGCAAUAGGCGAAAGCCUGACAGGGUUACUCUGAGUGAUUUCCGUUAAGGAGAUCUUUUGGCACCUCUAAAAAUGGUGCAGAAUAAGGGGUGGGCAAGUCUGGUGUCAGCCGCCGCGGUAAUACCAGCGCCCCGAGUGGUCGGGACGUUUAUUGGGCCUAAAGCAUCCGUAGCCGGUUCUGCAAGUCUUCCGUUAAAUCCACCUGCUUAACAGAUGGGCUGCGGAGAUACUAUAGAGCUAGGAGGCGGGAGAGGCAAGCGGUACUCGAUGGGUAGGGGUAAAAUCCGUUGAUCCAUUGAAGACCACCAGUGGCGAAGGCGGCUUGCCAGAACGCGCUCGACGGUGAGGGAUGAAAGCUGGGGGAGCAAACCGGAUUAGAUACCCGGGUAGUCCCAG